GACCUCGGAUCAGGAGG
rnacentral:rRNA from 1 species